rnacentral:rRNA from 1 species
AGUGAACGCUGGCGGUAGGCCUAACACAUGCAAGUCGAACGGCAGCACAGUAAGAGCUUGCUCUUACGGGUGGCGAGUGGCGGACGGGUGCGGAAUACAUCGGAAUCUACUUUUUCGUGGGGGAUAACGUAGGGAAACUUACGCUAAUACCGCAUACGACCUACGGGUGAAAGCAGGGGAUCUUCGGACCUUGCGCGAUUGAAUGAGCCGAUGUCGGAUUAGCUAGUUGGCGGGGUAAAGGCCCACCAAGGCGACGAUCCGUAGCUGGUCUGAGAGGAUGUUCAGCCACACUGGAACUGAGACACGGUCCAGACUCCUACGGGAGGCAGCAGUGGGGAAUAUUGGACAAUGGGCGCAAGCCUGAUCCAGCCAUACCGCGUCGGUGAAGAAGGCCUUCUGGUUGUAAAGCCCUUUUGUUGGGAAAGAAAAGCAGCAGGUUAAUACCCCGCUGUUCUGACAGUACCCAAAGAAUAAGCACCGGCUAACUUCGUG